UACAACUGAUAGUUUGAGAAGUGGAAUGAUGGAGUAACGACCUGAAACGCUUCCCUUAAUACCCCGUUAGGCGAGUGGAUAAAGUUCAUGGCCUACAGCACGGAGAGGACGACCGAAGUAUACCCAAACAGAUAAAGCUGUGGAAAAAUUAACAGAGGUGUUAGUUGUGUAUGACAGGUCGGAGGUCUAUAUA
rfam:Clostridium perfringens B str. ATCC 3626 gcontig_1106202603868, whole genome shotgun sequence.